rnacentral:rRNA from 1 species
ACGAACGCUGGCGGCAUGCCUAACACAUGCAAGUCGAACGAGACCUUCGGGUCUAGUGGCGCACGGGUGCGUAACGCGUGGGAAUCUGCCCUUGGGUACGGAAUAACAGUUAGAAAUGACUGCUAAUACCGUAUAAUGACUUCGGUCCAAAGAUUUAUCGCCCAGGGAUGAGCCCGCGUCGGAUUAGCUAGUUGGUAGGGUAAAAGCCUACCAAGGCGACGAUCCGUAGCUGGUCUGAGAGGAUGAUCAGCCACACUGGGACUGAGACACGGCCCAGACUCCUACGGGAGGCAGCAGUGGGGAAUAUUGGACAAUGGGCGAAAGCCUGAUCCAGCAAUGCCGCGUGAGUGAUGAAGGCCUUAGGGUUGUAAAGCUCUUUUACCCGGGAUGAUAAUGACAGUACCGGGAGAAUAAGCCCCGGCUAACUCCGU